rnacentral:rRNA from 1 species
UACGAAGGGGGCUAGCGUUGCUCGGAAUCACUGGGCGUAAAGCGCACGUAGGCGGAUCUUUAAGUCAGGGGUGAAAUCCCGGGGCUCAACCUCGGAACUGCCUUUGAUACUGCAAAUCUCGAGUCCGGAAGAGGUGAGUGGAAUUCCUAGUGUAGAGGUGAAAAUUCGUAGAUAUUAGGAAGAACACCAGUGGCGAAGGCGGCUCACUGGUCCGGUACUGACGCUGAGGUGCGAAAGCGUGGGGAGCAAACAG